rnacentral:rRNA from 1 species
AUGUCACAAAAACUUGGAAGUGCUGAUACUUCUACAAUAUGUUUUUCUAUCUCUAGCUGUAUGAGAAUGAAGAUUUUGCUAUUUUAUCUGGUUGCUCAACAUACCACUUGCUUGGUUACCAUUAUGGAUAGUUUGGAUCGGUACUCCACCAACAUCCUAUUCCAGGUUGUUACUGGUGAACUAUACAGUUUACCAGCAGUACUGAUAUUUGUGACUGAACAGUGUAUUACAGUAUUGUUUUGCCCUUAUUGUCAGCGAAGUUUUCCCCUUUUCCGGAUUUUUUUUAAAAUUCUUUUACUCCCUCCGAUCCAUAUUAGUUGUCGCAGCUUUAGUACAACUUUGUACUAA